AGCAGCCGCGGUAAUUCCAGCUCCAAUAGCGUAUAUUAAAGUUGUUGCAGUUAAAAAGCUCGUAGUUGAAUUUCGGGGUCAGUAGGUUGGUCAUGCCACUGGUAUGUACUGGCUUCACUGAUUCCUCCUUCCUGAUGAGCCGUAAUGCCAUUAAUUUGGUGUUGCGAGGAAUCUGGACUGUUACUUUGAAAAAAUUAGAGUGUUUAAAGCAGGCUAACGCUUGAAUACAUUAGCAUGGAAUAAUGAAAUAGGACGUUCGAUCUUAUUUUGUUGGUUUCUAAGAUUGACGUAAUGAUUAAUAGGGAUAGUUGGGGGCAUUAGUAUUCAAUUGUCAGAGGUGAAAUUCUUGGAUUUAUUGAAGACUAACUACUGCGAAAGCAUUUGCCAAGGAUGUUUUCAUUAAUCAAGAACGAAAGUUAGGGGAUCGAAGACGAUCAGAUACCGUCGUAGUCUUAACCAUAAACUAUGCCGACUAGGGAUCGGAUGAUGUUAAUUUUUUAAUGACCCAUUCGGCGCCG
rnacentral:rRNA from 1 species